rnacentral:rRNA from 1 species
GAUAAACGCUGGCGGCGUGCCUAAAACAUGCAAGUCGAACGGGCGUCUUCGGACGUCAGUGGCGGACGGCUGAGUAACACGUGGGUGACCUGCCCUCGAGCGGGGGAUAACUGCCCGAAAGGGUGGCUAAUACCGCAGAUGUCAUGGGUUCAUUCUCAUGACUGAACCGAUUCAGGGUUCGGGGAGGGGCCCGCGGUCGAUUAGCUAGCUGGUGGGGUAAUGGCCUACCAGGGCUGCGAUCGAUAGCUGGUCUGAGAGGAUGAUCAGCCAGACUGGGACUGCGAACGGCCCAGACUCCUACGGGAGGCAGCAGUUAGGAAUUUUGGGCAAUGGGCGAAAGCCUGACCCAGCAACGCCGCGUGGGUGAUGAAGGCCCUCGGGUCGUAAAGCCCUUUUCCCAGGGAAGAUAGUGACGGUACCUGGGGAAUCAGCCCCGGCUAACUACGUGCCAGCAGCCGCAGUAACAC